rnacentral:rRNA from 1 species
GACGUAGGGCGCGAGCGUUGUCCGGAUUUAUUGGGCGUAAAGAGCUCGUAGGCGGCUUGUCGCGUCGACUGUGAAAUCCCGCGGCUCAACUGCGGGUCUGCAGUCGAUACGGGCAGGCUAGAGUUCGGUAGGGGAGACUGGAAUUCCUGGUGUAGCGGUGAAAUGAUGCAGAUAUCAGGAGGAACACCGGUGGCGAAGGCGGGUCUCUGGGCCGAUACUGACGCUGAGGAGCGAAAGCGUGGGGGAGCGAACAGG